ACCACCAUGUAUCAGGGGAAAUACCAAGUUAUGAAAGUGGUUUACCCAGGGGAGGCUCAUCUAUUGCCCUUUGGGUGUGCUCUUGAUCUCUCUGAUUUCCCCAAAUGUGGGGAACUCAUCUGCACAAUUUAUGUUAAUAGGAGAUUACACUUGUAAUUAACCCCCA
rnacentral:snRNA from 1 species